AUACUAUAAUGGCCAUAUUAGAAGCAUUCACAUCAUGGCCCCUGUCAGAUUCGAAUGAAUCUGCUAUUCUGCU
rnacentral:ribozyme from 1 species